GCUUAGUAAGUCAAAAGUGAAAGCCUUGGGCUCAACCUAAGAAUUGCUUUUGAAACUACCAAGCUUGAGUACUGUAGGGGAUAGCGGAAUUCCUAGUGUAGGGGUGAAAUUCAUAGAUGUUAGGAGGAACACCGGAGGCGAAAGCGGUUAUCUGGACAGUUACUGACGCUGUUGCACGAAAGCGUGGGGAGCAAACGGGAUUAGAUACCCUGGUAGUCCACGCUGUAAACGAUGAGUGCUAA
rnacentral:rRNA from 1 species